AUUUUUUUGUAUGCAUGUAUAUAUAUUUUUUAGUUUUUUGUUUUUACAUUUUUUGGUAUAUAAUAGGUAAUUGUAUCACUAAUUGCCAAACGCCCCUAUCCCUGUCUUAUAAGCUCCUACACCACUAGCACCAUAUUUGGAUGCAAUCACCUACAGUCACAUGAUCACCCUUACCAUCACAAUCAUUCAAACUCACUAUACCAUUGAGUAAGUU